rnacentral:rRNA from 1 species
UUUUGGACAAUGGGGGAAACCCUGACCCAGCCAUCCCGCGUGUACGAUGAAGGCCUUCGGGUUGUAAAGCACUUUUGGCAGGGAAGAAAAGGCGCGGGCUAAUACCCGGCGCCGCUGACGGUACCUGCAGAAUAAGCACCGGCUAACUACGUUCCAGCAGCCGCGGUAAUACGUAGGGUGCAAGCGUUAAUCGGAAUUACUGGGCGUAAAGGGUGCGCAGGCGGUUUGGCAAGAAGGAUGUGAAAUCCCGGGGCUUAACCUCGGAACUGCAUUCUUAACUGCCAGGUUAGAGUAUGUCAGAGGGGGGUAGAAUUCCGCGUGUAGCAGUGAAAUGCGUAGAGAUGCGGAGGAAUACCGAUGGCGAAGGCAGCCCCCUGGGAUAAUACUGACGCUCAGGCACGAAAGCGUGGGGAGCAAACA